rnacentral:rRNA from 1 species
GAUGAACGCUGGCGGCGUGCCUAACACAUGCAAGUCGAGCGAGAAGCUCAUGAUUGAAACUUCGGUUGAUUGAAGGAGCGGAAAGCGGCGGACGGGUGAGUAACGCGUAGGCAACCUGCCCUCAGCAGGGGGAUAGCCAUUGGAAACGAUGAUUAAGACCCCAUAAUACAGACAUUUCACAUGUAAUGUCUGCCAAAGAUUUAUCGGCUGAGGAUGGGCCUGCGUCUGAUUAGAUAGUUGGUGGGGUAACGGCUCACCAAGUCGACGAUCAGUAGCCGACCUGAGAGGGUGAUCGGCCACAUUGGAACUGAGACACGGUCCAAACUCC